rnacentral:tRNA from 1 species
GCCAGAGUGGUGUAGUGGUUUGAACAUUGGACUAUGAAUAUGGAGAGCAGGGUUCAAAUCCCUGCUUGGCCA